CGCCAGAUAGCUCAGUUGGUAGAGCACCUGACUAGAAAUUCAGGGUGCCCGGGUUCGAAACCCGGUCUGGUCC
rnacentral:tRNA from 1 species